rnacentral:lncRNA from 10 species
CUAGGUUCCGGAACCUGACCUGAGCUGGGGCCUGUGCUUCCAGCGGGUGGUGGGGGGCCUGGUGUGCUGGCAUCAAGUAAGCCGACUACCUCGGCAAAGGCUUAGGGACAAGAGACCAGCAGCCUGAACUGGCUGGGGCAUCCGGAAGGCUUAGAUCUUGUGGCCAAGAGUUCAGACCGUGGCGAAGUGGAGAGUGACAUGCAGUUGGAUGGCGGUGACUGCGUGGUAUGGAAGAAAAUUCAGCUGAAAUUUGCUAGAAAAUGAGUUGUUUUGGAAAGAGACUGUAGAGAAAGGCAAAUGGAAGAAGAAAGCUUCUGUGCCCCCACAGAUACCGACUGAAAAGUGUUAGCAUGAGCAAAAGUUCCUAUCUAAUAUUAUAUGCUUUCCUUUGCUCCCAGGUCCUGCAACCCUGGUUCCAGUCUGGCAAGCAUUGUAGACCUGGCUGCUGAAGACUGACGGGGCCCAGGGUCCGCUGCCCCCACCGCCAUCACCACCUCGGAACCCAGGGUAACGCUGUCAGUCUUUGUUUAAAGGUGCCCCCUGGAAAAAAUGUAACAAUUC